ACUCUGCGUGCUCUGCUGGUGUGGUGCUCGACUAGAAGGGAAUCCCCUCUCUCAUCGCCCCCGCCCCGUCUCCCCCGACCGAAACUUCUCCUCCGCUUCGCCCAUCUCACCGCCACGCCCUCUCAACCCCCUCCCCCGUCUAAUUGAAGCGCCAAACGGGCGCGCCAUUUGAAUUCCCCGCGAGCUUCCGCCUCCAGCGCCUCCUCGGGGCGCCCCCUCUGCCGCCCGGCCCGCCUAGGGUUUCGCUCCGGGACCCCCUCGCGCGGCCAUGGGGGACGCCGCGGCGGCGUCGCCCCGCGCGGCGCCGGCGAAGCGGCGGCGCGGGGACGACGGCGCGGGGAUGCGGCGGGUGGCGGAGAUCGUCAUGGUGCUGGCCGCCGCCGGGGAGAUGCGAGGCGGGAGGGACCCCACGGCGGCGGAGCGGGCGCUCGCGGCCGAGGCGCGGGAGAGGCUGGCCGCCGCCGUCGCCGGGGGCGCGACCCGGCCCAAGGAUCUGUUCCCGGGGGAGGCUGUGCGCGCCGUCGUCGAGGAUCUCGGCCUCAACAGGGCCAAGGACCCCGCCGCCAUGGGGUUCCGCCCGCCCAAGGCCUCCAUCGCCGACAGGCUCUCGCUUACUAAGCGCAAGAUGGAAGAAGUCAAGGAAUCUCCAGUUCAACCAACAGCAAUCACACCUCAAACGACUGUCUCGAGUGGAACAGCUGAAUUCCAGCCGCAUGGGACUCCCAUGUUUGCUGUUGGAUCUCAUAGGACUCCACCAGCUGCUGCAGCCUCGCCUGCUACUGUCCCAGUAACUUCUACCUCUGUAAUGGCCUUGAAACAGCAUGGAUCAUCUCCUGUAAAGCCAGUUACUAACCAUUCAGUUGUUGCACUAUCCCAUACUGGUCAACCACAUGUUAAGUCAGAAAGAGGUGUUAAUGGUCCUUUGAAUUUAACACGAGCGACUGUUGGCCACUUGAACAAACCGUUUCACGAUACAUCUGCUAGGUCCAAUUCAAAUGCCGCUGCGAGUAACAAUCAGGUCGUGAAAAAUCAGGACACAAAGGUAGCGGCAGUUCAAGCUGUGACCGUAAACCCUGUUAUGGGGCAUCAGGCUACACCAGGGACAGCGUCUUCUGUUACUGCAAAACCUAUUUUUGCCAACCACAAUGCAAUAGCGAAAAGUGUUCAAAAUGUUCUGCAACAACCUGCUAAUCAUCCUAGCUGGACUCCACCAUCAACUGAGUAUAUGCAAGCUCGUUUGGACUGCCAAAUAUGCAAAGUUGCUAUCAUGGAUGCAAACAGUUUGCUUGUUUGUGAUGCUUGUGAGAGGGGAGCACACUUGAAGUGCCUUCAGCAUUAUGGUAACAAAGGUAUUCCUAUAGCUGACUGGCAUUGUCCAACAUGUGUAGCACAGAGCAAGGGUAAACCCCUUCCACCAAAAUAUGGCAAGGUCACAAGAACUGUUGUAACAUCACAGUCUGGUCCACCUGUUGGUGGAACACAGUUUUCUGUUCAGCGAGUGGGGGGAAAUACGGUUGCAAAGGGAAAUCACCAAGCGCUUGCUACAAAUGGAAACAUUAUCAAGCCAAACUCCAUGAAAACUGGUAACACUGUAAAAAACAGUCCUGUAUUGGCUCUGAAUGCUGCUACUGAUCUCUCGCAAUCACAAGCAGUUUCUAUCUCCGGGCCUGCAAAAGUAAAUGCUAAUAAUGCUGAAACCUCCUCUAAUGAUAUGGAAUGGAAUGAGCAAUCAUGCAGCAGUACAGGAUGCGAACUCACUGCUGGUAGUGAAUUAUCUUUGCACUCUGUGGAUUCACCCAAUGAUACCGUUCACGGGCAGCAAUCUACAGUCACUUCUAGGGCAAAUUGUCCAGAUAAUUCUUCUGCUAUUGCUGCUGAUACGAAGAUCAAGUCUGAAGCACAGUCCGAAGCCCUGGGCGGAGCUGUGAAAAUGGUUGAUAAAAAUGUGACACCUGUGGAUCAAGCAAGCAAUAUUGGCAGUGAACAUAAUAAGGGGACUCAAGCAACCUCUGAGCCAGAGCUAGAUACAGAGAACGAUGUGGAUAUUACUAACACAGAAAAACCAAUAGAUCAAGGUAGCGCUGUUGUUGUGGAAGGGAAAGUCCACACUGAAGCAAACUCUGAACCACAUACAAUCAAUGAUGUAGAGAUGACUACCAGCACUGGAAUCACCAUAGGUCAAAGCAGCAACAUUGCUAUAGAAGGAAAAAUCGCUGUUGAAGAUAAUACUGGAACUCGGGCAACCUCUGAGCCACAAUUGAUCGAAGAUGUGGAAAUGACAUCAGUAAUGGAUGAGAAAAGCGAUGUUGGUAUUGAAGAAAAGCCCCAAUCUGAAGCGACAUCUGUAGUCAAAGAUGUGGAGAUGACCAUCGAUGCUGGAUUGGAAGCAGAUCACACACAACUAGCAGAUGGAUCAACUGAAAAUGGAGUAGGAGAACCUCGCCAUGAAGAGGCAUGCAUAGAUAAGUCUAACUUCAGCGAAAUGUCAGAUCAUCAUACCAACCAUCAGUUAAUUCCAAAUGGGGUGCUACCAGCCACAGAUGAAGCUUUAUGCAGUCAGGAGACUAAGGAGGGUCACCUUGUGGGUUGCAGUGUGGCCCUAAGAGAAGACAACAACUAGAUUCAGAUAUUAGGUUGCAUCCAAUUUACUUUUGCAGAUGGGGGGCAUGAAGGAUGCACCAGUAGAUCAGCUAGCAUCAGUGAUUAGCCAUGCUCUCUUCAUUCUCCUGGAUCACCUAUUUAGAUUUAUUAGUGAUGGACAACCAUUUUCGUCGAGAUGCCCGGAGCUUCUUGGUGCCUCGUGAGGUUGUUGUACUUGCGUUUCUAGUUAGCUGAUUCGUUCUGUUGCUCCGUGUUAAUCUGCGAUGCUGUAAUUAGACAUGCUUUGACUGGGGACUGAAUCGUUUGCGUCAUAAUAAUGACAUUUGCCGUCAUGAUCAACUUGUGCCAAGGAGACGAGAGCUUUACCUUGACUGCAUCCAUGCGAAGGUGAUGAAAUGAACCAAAGUGAAAACACCGCAAUGUUAUAUUAGUACAACUCGUCUGACAUUGAGCUAUGAAGUGAGUCGCUACCUGUACUAGCGAAUUGUUGUUGCAACAUGGGCAUCCAUAAUCUAAUGGUUAAACAUUAA